UUAAAAUGUAAUACUUUCUUUUAAUGUUUUACUUUGAUUCAAGAAGUUGAUACGUACACUCGUGUCAAUUAGAAGAUAACAAUGAAGCUACUGUAUUUCAUCUUUUUGUUACUAACCCUAAGUUUGGUUGUUGAGGUGAAUUCGUUUCUGCCGUUUACAAAGCCUGAUCUCAGCCAGUUGAAGCAAUUUUUUUUUACUAAUACCCCGGGAAACAGUACCAGUAAUGCAACAGUUGCCUAGCAGUGCAGCGGUUUCGCAAAUGUUUGGGUUAAUAAAAAAUUAAAUCCUU